GAUGAACGCUAGCGGCAGGCUUAAUACAUGCAAGUCGUGGGGCAGCAUGAGUGUAGCAAUACAUUUGAUGGCGACCGGCAAACGGGUGCGGAACACGUACACAACCUUCCUUCAAGUGGGGAAUAGCCCAGGGAAACUUGGAUUAAUACCCGUAAUAUUAUGGAGUGGCAUCACUUUAUAAUUAUAGCUCCGGCGCUUGAUGAUGGGUGUGCGCCUGAUUAGGUAGUUGGCGGGGUAACGGCCCACCAAGCCUUCGAUCAGUAACUGGUGUGAGAGCACGACCAGUCACACGGGCACUGAGACACGGGCCCGACUCCUACGGGAGGCAGCAGUAAGGAAUAUUGGUCAAUGGACGCAAGUCUGAACCAGCCAUGCCGCGU
rnacentral:rRNA from 1 species